AUUGAACGCUGGCGGCAUGCUUUACACAUGCAAGUCGAACGGUAACAGGCCGCAAGGUGCUGACGAGUGGCGAACGGGUGAGUAAUGCAUCGGAACGAGCCCAGUCGUGGGGGAUAACUGCUCGAAAGAGCAGCUAAUACCGCAUACGAUCUAUGGAUGAAAGCGGGGGACCGUAAGGCCUCGCGCGAUUGGAGCGGCCGAUGUCAGAUUAGGUAGUUGGUGGGGUAAAGGCUCACCAAGCCAACGAUCUGUAGCUGGUCUGAGAGGACGACCAGCCACACUGGGACUGAGACACGGCCCAGACUCCUACGGGAGGCAGCAGUGGGGAAUUUUGGACAAUGGGGGCAACCCUGAUCCAGCAAUGCCGCGUGCAGGAAGAAGGCCUUCGGGUUGUAACCUGCUUUUGUACGGAACGAAACGGUCUGGGUUAAUACCCUGGGCUAAUGACGGUACCGUAAGAAUAAGCACCGGCUAACUGCGUGCCAGCAGCCGCGGUAACAC
rnacentral:rRNA from 1 species